GUGUUGAUUUCGCUACUCUAAGCCAGAUUCUGUCUGAUGCACCAGCCCGGGGAGGCGGCCUUUGCUUUGCUCCCGCCAGCUGAUCAGCGAGGCUAAAUCUCUUUCGCCUCUUCGGUCUUUUACUUCUCAGGUCCAGCAAGCAGGAGCGAGCAACAUGUGCUGGAGACCUGGCCUGGUAGCGCAAGGCCAGGCGCGGCCCCAGGAGAGAACCAGCAGGAAGCACCGCUGCUCUAGUUAUGAACCCACUGUGUCCAUUGCCCCUCGUGGAGGAGGCAGCGGUCCAUGGCAGCAAGGUGGAGCAGCAUGAGCCUGGGUGACCUGGCUCACUGAGAGAAAGGUGACAUGGUGACCUGAAGCAGACUUGGAAAGAGAGGCCACUGCCCUGGUUAACAAGCCACUUGUGAGCCAUUAAUAGGAGAGAGUGGGACUAUUACGUUGUCCGUAGACGUAGACUUGAGGAUCUUCUUAAGGUGAAGGAGUUGUCAAUGUCAGCAGGAAGCAGAAGUUGCACUGUGAAGUAGCAGAAAGUUCUCCUGUUACUAUUGCAAACAUUCACCAAAGUGACAGUAAAAUAUCCCAAGUCUAAGCUGUUGUGUCCACAUUGCUCUGCAAUGACUUCAUGGUCAAGCUUCCCUCUUUCUGUGUGGAGUAAGAAAUACUGCAUGUCCUGCCUCCUUAACAGAUGCCUAGGGGCUUUAUCCGCUCCACCGAUACUGACUUGGACUCCUUAUUCAUUCCAUGGGUGGUGAACCCGAGCCUACUUAUUUACUGAUACUUUAAAAAACCCUUGCACCCCAAUCUGGGUCUGUGCUGGUUAUGAGAUGUAUGUAUUUUUUUCAUCCUUGCAAACGGUAUCUGUAACCCCCACCCAUAACCCAAGCCUGACCCCAGAUGUACAAUACCUUCCCUCUCAGCCUGUGUGUAUUUCAUUUCAAACAUUUCCUUUAAUAAAAUGUAUUGCCUCAAAACUCAUGAGCCAUUUCGUUGGAAGGGAUUGACCAUC